AUCGCUUCUCGGCCUUCCUGGCUAAGAUCAUGUGAAAGUAUCUGUUCUCGUCAGCUUAACAUCUGACGGCAGUGCCACAGCGCAGCUGCGAUGUUAUUCACGAGAUUUUUGGAACCGGGUCUUGGUGAAGCUUGCUUCCCUGACCAUGGGUUGACCCAGUAUAGCACUGUAGCUGGGAACAGCCCCACAAUC